UUUGGUUGCUGUUGUGUCUUUUGUGCAAGCAUUUGAUGACUUCCUAGGUUUAGAGGUGAAACCACUGCCUCAUGUAAACUGCUUCAUUUAGCAUGAUGUGGAUAUAUUUGGCUUAGUCAGGGGCAUUGCAUUUGUUGAACCUUCAAACAAGAAUGCAUAACAAGCAAUGAAAUGAAGAAACAAAAUAAAGCCCAAAUGAAACAACCCCCCUGCCAACCUUUUGAGAAUAAUGCCUUAACCUAUAUUAGUUAAGGGAUGAAUAUUGUCUACUCCUUCUCCAUCAUCUGCCAGAGAGAAAGAUUUGUCGCUAGCUGUUGAACUCUCCAGUGUUCAGCUAUUCAAUGUGGCCAUCUACUCAACAACACCAAACUAUCCAAGUCUUUUUUUUUUGAUGGAACUGAUGAUAUGAAAUGAAAAGGAACAUUUAAAAAUCAUUUUAAGAAGUUCAAAAGUUUGUUUUCAUGUAUAAGCAAAAUGCUAGCUGAAUAUAUAAAAGGACAAUGCCUGUUCUCACUAACACCCAGCUUGAUGGAAUCACCCUCAUACAAGAAAAUUUGCCACAAAGGGAUUCAAAAUAGUUAUGCUUUGAGGUAAACAUUGCGGUAGCGUUCCAGUCCAAUAACUCUGUAAGAAAAAGCAAGUCCACAGUAGAGCAUAGGAGGGGGAAUUCAACACCCACAAAGUUGCAAUUAUGAAGAACCAGAAUUUAUUGGGCAUGGAAUAUAUUGUCACUAAAUAGCUCAGCAGUUCUCAUGAGUCUUUGCUAAGGUUCCAAAUAUGUAGUCUCAGACAGAGGAUUUCUUUUCUUCAAGGCUUUUAUUAAAAACCAGUUCAGGUAAAUGCUGACAGUAAACAAGCAAACCUGUUGAAUCACAAGUCUGCACCUACGCAGGCAAGACGAUGUCUUUCGGUGACAUUUCAGAGUGCUAACAGCUGAAGAAAAUUCUGUUUUACCCUUGUUACUUAAAAUAAAACAAACACAAAAGAAAACAGCUGCUCUUGCUAUGAAGUUUAGUUUCAUUUUAAAGAUAGUCUUGUGCUUCUGUUUCACCGUUACUGUUUCCCGAAGCCAUUUUGCCCUGAGGUUUCAGUGCCUCUAAAGUUCAUUGGCUAAAGAGUCAUUUUCCCAUAAGGCCCUGCGGACCCCUGUGCUCCAUAUCCCUGGUCAGGUGUUUUAAGCUGUCAAAGAAAACACCUCUUGGCUCCUUCAAAGAGUGUUUUACAAUGUUCAGCGUGCUGAGACAUAAUUUUGGCAGUUCAGUAACUUCUCUGUGGAUGCUCAUGCAAGGCAGAUGCAAUCAGUGAUGCUGAUAGUUAUGUAUUACAAGAAUAAGACUUAGCAUUUUGAUUCAAGGAAUAUCAUUUGUAUGUGGGGACACAGCAGUGCCCUUCAGCCUCUGUGAGAUCACUGCCAUAUUUGCUCUGUCCUGCCUUUUGUAUAUGUGAUUCUUAAGGAAUGGAGUCCUAUGGACCACCAGUAUUCGAUAUUCAACAUAACUCCAUCCAGCCUUCCCUGAGUUGCCUUCUUCAUAGCAGGACCAUUCUCUGAACUCCAGGUAUACAUUUUUAUCACCUUCCAAAUCCUAGGCUAUCUUAUGAAACAUGCCAUGAGGCUAAUGAAAAUACUUCAGCUUCCAAAACGGUUGCUGACAAAGGCACUCUUUGGUUACUGACACUCUCCCUUUCUAGGAUGAUUGUGAAGUGCAGGUAAAAGGCAAAUAGUAGUUUGACUGACUACUCCUGUCCUUAGUCUUUGCAGAGCUAAGGGCCUAAGUUUGGCCUUGAUAAUCAUCUUCAGCCCCCAUUUUUAACUGACAAAAAAGUAUUUAUAGAGAGGUCAGCACAGGAGGGAGCUAGCCUCUCACUUUAAUGCAGGAUUGAACUGAUGUGAAAUGGAAAGCAAAUUUUUUUUUUGAAAAAGGGACAA